rnacentral:lncRNA from 1 species
ACUUUUGUUUUCAGAGAGGCUGAGAGAAAGCCACCUCAGCUCUUGGCAUGGCCACCAGCCUAAGGGCCCUGGGCUUUCCAGGGAGGGAAAGCUGUAUCCCACUCAGAGACUUCCUGGUAAAAUGAGGCCAGCGGUGCAAUUCUGUCAACACACAGCAAGAGAGCCAGUAUUGGUGGCUCUAGAAGGAACAAAACGGUCAUUUGUAGCUAUGAGCCUGAGGCUAUGGCAAGCAAAACUGAACCUAAGGAGGAAAUGUGUGACUGACAGAAGGUCAUCAGUUCACUGCUCUAUACGGCUCCCUUGGAAUCCAAGAGAUUUCACUUGAGAUCCAAUGAUGCCUGAGGCCCUUCCUCAGGUCUGACAGAGAGUAAAGCUCAUCAGAUAAGCCAGAGACCUCUUCCUCAUGAGCAUACAUUUCAUCUGACCUGCCGGUAAGGAGGAGCAAACGUGACUUCCACACAAAGCUUGGUCUGUGCUUCAGGGCUGAGAAGCCUCCUUCAGUCAUGUGCAGGCAGGCACUAGAGAUUCCUGAGGCCUCUGGCAUGUUCAUUGUGGGGACAUUUGCAGAACUGGAUCCAAACCAAGACUGGCAAGAGCUGG